ensembl:lncRNA
GACGGGGGGGUAGGAUGGAGCGGAUUGGAACAGGGCCUCGGGGGGGAUGAAGGAAGGAUGGAGCGGAUUGGAACAGGGCCUCGGGGGAGUGAAGGAAGGAUGGAGCGGAUUGGAACAGGGCCUCGGGGAGGGGGGAUGGAUGGACGGUAGGAUGGAGAUGGAUUGGAACAGGGCCUCGGGGAGAGUGACGGUAGGAUGGAGCGGAUUGGAACAGGGCCUCGGGGUGAGUGACGGUAGGAUGGAGCGGAUUGGAACAGGGCCUCGGGGGGAGUGACGGUAGGAUGGAGCGGAUUGGAACAGGGCCUUACACUGAGUUUCCUCUUGGGGGCUUUCUGUUUGGCGGUCGCUCCCCUACGAUGAGUCACAAACUUCCCUGGAGCCAAAACUGGAGACGG